rnacentral:rRNA from 1 species
AUUGAACGCUGGCGGCAGGCCUAACACAUGCAAGUCGAGCGGAGCGGCGGACGGGUGAGUAAUGCCAAGGAAUCUGCCUGGUAGUGGGGGGUAACGUCCGGAAACGGGCGCUAAUACCGCAUACUAUCAGAUGAGCCUAGGUCGGAUGAGAUAGUUGGUGGGUUAAAGGCCUACAAAGGGGACGAUCCGUAACUGGUCUGAGAGGAUGAUCAGUCAAACUGGAACUGGAACACGGUCCAGACUCCUACGUGAGGCAGCAGUGGGGAAUAUUGGACAAUGGGCGAAAGCCUGAGCCAGCCAUGCCGCGUGGGUGAAGAAGGUCUUCGGAUUGUAAGGCACUUUAAGUUGGGAGGCGUUACCCACAGAAUAAGCACCGGCUAACUUCGUGCCAGCAGCCGCGGUAAUAC